AUUGAACGCUGGCGGCAGGCCUAACACAUGCAAGUCGAACGAGCGGCGGACGGGUGAGUAAUGUAUGGGAAACUGCCCGAUGGAGGGGGAUAACUACUGGAAACGGUAGCUAAUACCGCAUACUAUCGGAUGUGCCCCUAUGGGAUUAGCUAGUUGGUGAGGUAACGGCUCACCAAGGCGACGAUCCCUAGCUGGUCUGAGAGGAUGACCAGCCACACUGGAACUGAGACACGGUCCAGACUCCUACGGGAGGCAGCAGUGGGGAAUAUUGCACAAUGGGCGCAAGCCUGAUGCAGCCAUGCCGCGUGUAUGAAGAAGGCCUUCGGGUUGUAAAGUACUUUCAGUGGGGAGGCGUUACCCGCAGAAGAAGCACCGGCUAACUCCGUGCCAGCAGCCGCGGUAAUAC
rnacentral:rRNA from 1 species